AGGCUCAUUAUCCUUCAUGAUUGCCCUUAUUUUAACUAUUCAGAUGAACUUUCGAUUCCAGUUUAAGUUCAAAAUCAUCUAAAAUGGGCAAUAGGGACAGCAUAUCUAUUGUGUUCAGCUGGAGGAAAAAAUAAUUUAUGGUGUUUAAUCAACUCCCCAGCCGGAAGAAGAGCUGUACAUUAGUCAUUGCCCCAAAUUAAAAGAAAGAAGUGCAAAGGCAAGUGCUGCAAAGUGGUCCAGGAUUGCCCACAUUCCAAAUAUUUACAUUAGUGAUGCAUUAAACAAAAAGCAGUUUGAAGAUCAUAUACAUUUCUAGGAUAGAUGACCAACACUACGGACUUCUAUCUAAUGUGUUCUGCCAGAAGUUUUAAUCUAGUCCCAAGCUAAUGGAAGUUUAUAAGUA